rnacentral:lncRNA from 1 species
GCUCUUGCAGUGUUCUCCCCGCAGGUGCUGCAUGGAGUGAGUGGCGGCAUCCACCGUGAGGAGGAGAGGAGCUCUGAUACCCUCAGGACCCGCCAGGAGGGGCAUCACGGAGGCUUCUGGACGACUUGGAGCUGUGUCCUGGGGAGAAAACCGCUCCUGUCUGGGCCCUGAGUGCUGAGGAGGAAGCUGCCAUGCACUUUUCCCUGGCAUUUUUCCUGCAUGGAGAGAGAGGUCCAAGGUGCCCUACAUCGUGCGUCAGUGCGUGGAGGAGAUCGAGCGCCGAGGCAUGGAGGAGGUGGGCAUCUACCGCAUGUCUGGGGUGGCCGCAGACAUCCAGGCACUGAAGGCAGGCUUCAACGUCAAUAACAAGGACGUGUCAGUGAUGAUGAGCGAGAUGGACGUGAACGCCAUCGCAGGCAUGCUGAAGCUGUACUUCCGUGAGCUGCCCGAGCCCCUCUUCACUGACGAGUUCUACCCCAACUUCGCAGAGGGCAUCGAUCCAGAUACCUAAUAAGAUGCUGGAAUGUAAUCCCUGGACAAUCCGUGUCCUGGCAGCAUUUGGUCUUCCUCUAAGCGCCUGGCUCCGCUGUUCUCAGGAGUGGGUUCUGAAGUCUCUGGAGAACAGGAUACGUGGAGGGUUAGGAAGGGGCCAGGCCUAGAGACGGGAGACUCCCUCCCGGAGCAGGUGGAGGCACAGGACCAUUCGCUACCCCAUCUGCCGGCACCUGCGGGGGAGCCCAGGCAUUGUUUGUAAACCCUCCUGACUACCUGACUCAAAGAAAACAGAAGCAUGGAGGCCGCCAAGUAUUUUCAAGAAAUAAUCCCAUGAACGUGGCAUCACUUUUUUAGAAAGAGGGGCUUGGGGCAGGCAGAGGAGAGAAGGGAGAGCAAACUGAGAGCCAAGUUUCCAGACGGUCCUGCAGGAGGAGAGGAUGCAGCUGCGCAGAGGGAAGCAGGAUCACAUUUAAGGAAGUGUGUGGGGUCCCUGGAUGACACCAGCACCCAGUACGGCUCUGUCUGGCAACCGCUCCCAAGGUGGCAGGAGUGGGUGUCCCCUGUGUGUCAGUGGGCAGCUCCUGCUGAGCCCGCAGCUCACUGGGGAGCCUGACAGCGGGGCCAUGUGCCUGACACUCCUCUCUGCUUGUGGACCUGGCAAGGCAGGGAGCAGAAAACAGAGCCACUUGAAGGCUUUCUGUCUGCGUCUGUGUGCAGUGUGGAUUUAGUUGUGCUUUUUUCUUGCUGGGAGAGCACAGCCACCAUUUACAAGCAGUGUCACCCUCGUGGGUGGCGAGGACAGAACAGGAGCCUCUGCUCUCUGUACCUAUCUGGGCCCGGUGGGCUCCCUUGUCCUGGCUUCCAUCUCUGUCUCAGCAACCAUUCAGCCCUGCGCAGGAACACGUGUUGCUUAGAAAAGCCAAAUCCAGCCUUGUCUCUGCCUCC